AUUUUGUUCCUUGCAGGGGUCCCAUACUAUUGUUGGCAGCAAGCGGAAAGCUAAGGAUUUUAAUGGCAAAAAUCUGAACUUGUUUAAUGGAACUUAUAAGAUGGUGGAAACCACAGUUGAUGUUAUGAUAAGAAAAGGAACAAACAUGAGACUCGAAAGCUAUGAGUUUUUGAGUGAUUUCAAGCAUGGCAACGCUGUGGUACUCCUGGACUACACAGAGUCCGGAAACAAGGGGAGUUUCAUCGUCACACAAGUUGAUGGGUCAUUCACUGCCUGGUUUGAAACAGGUGGAAAAGAGCUCUGCUUUGACUCAUCUGGUCAUAUUACUCAGUUAUUUAAAGACAUGAUUGUCGAUUUUUACGAUCUGACCUGGAGUUUGCACAAGAGGCACUUAGUCAUGCAGAAUUUUGUAAAGGAAAAUAUAUACGUCAAAAUCUUUGAUGGCGUACCCAAACUUAUGAUUCUACUAACUGAAGUUAAAUUGGUUGAUCAGCUAGGGCCAUUCAAACAGGACUGGAGUCAUGUCCAAGGCCUCAUGACUUGGUGUAAAGAACAAUCUGGUUUAAAAAUGGACUUUCUUACCAAGAGUUUCUAUGAUUUCAUCGGAUCUACCGACUGCACAGUAAUCAAGCUGAGAAACUACCCUGAUGAUUGGGAUGAAAAAAAGAAAGGUGAUUAUUUGCUCACACUCGCAGAAGUAAACCACGGAGUUCUUAAAGAUAAGUUGAAGAGUAGGGAUGAUUUUCAUUGGCCGUUUGUGAAGCUGCCUAAGCUGGAGCAGAACUUACCACCAAUGUUACAGCAAAUUCUUAGUGGGGAGAGACAGAUGAAAAGAAAGUUCGACGUGACAUUCUUUUGUGAUUAUAUCAACCUCUUGAGAAACUCCUACAAGAAAUUCAAUGAAUUACCAGAAAAUGUUAAGGCUUUAUGCAUAAACCAGGAUGGCUUCAUUAAACUGAUAGAUGGGUGGUCUCCUGAGUUUUGGACCAAGAUCUACGAGAAAAUUGGGUGGCCAGAUUAUAAUAUCUGGAAGUGGCCUUGUAAAAAAUAGCUUUAGUGCUUUGCAUUUGACCAGUGAGUACUGCAUUAAUACUUAAUGAACACUGCUUGAUCUCAAUGAUGGUGAUGCCGGUGCCCGCGCUGACAUUCUCAGGACAUAUGGUGCUGUUCUGCAGGUCCGAUCCUUAGAUGGCUCCUGUUAGGAGUUUUUGGUUCUUAGAAUUAUGUUAGAUGCUAUCUCGAAACUCUCAAGUAAUUUUUUGUCCUCCUGCAUGAAGCAAAACUUAGUGUAUUGGUUGAAAAUCUGGCAUGAUUGAAUGGAGAACUAUCGAGAUUCAUUACUGUGAGUCCAUGCACUUUUAGACCUUUUA
rnacentral:lncRNA from 1 species